UUCUUCUUCUCUUUUUCUUCUGUUUCUUCUUCUUUCAUUUUUGUUUUUCUUGGCAAAGGCAAUUGGAACGCCAAAAGAUCUGUCGUUUGGGUCGUCACCGCCAUCAAAGUCAAUGCCUCUGUCGCGCGAGUUUAUGGAUCAGAAAAUUAAUCUUUUACCUAAUGUUGUCUUUGCUUCUGUCGAAGAGUUUGAUUCAAGUGUAUGAGUUUUGGGGGUGGAUUUGUUAUGUGAAGUGAGGAAAUGGCGAAGAGGGUUAGUGAUGAGACUGUUGAAACGGAGUUGGAGACUGAGACCCAACAUCCAUACGCCGUUCAUGUUUUUCUCCGGUCAGCCGCACUGUUAUUCUUUCUUUAAAUUUAGGAUUUUCUUUUUUAUUAUGAACUACUUGUAUCCAUGUUGCUCAACAAUAUAUCGGUUAUUGAGAAAAAUUACAACUGAUUUGUA